CAUGUAUUUAUUUUAAUGUAUAUGUGAAAGGCUUUGACUAAAACCAGAACAGCACUUUUCAUGUUAUGCCCAACAGGGUCUGGGAGGAGUGUCACAUGAUUUACUGAUAUGCCCUGUACAGAUCUCUAAAUUAGCUCAAAAAUAAAACAUGAAUAGGUUUUAUGCAAACAGGUAAUUUUAAUGAAUUUCUUUCUAAUAACGUGUGAACUUAAUGGUAAAAUUCACUCCACCUGCCAGGGCUG